rnacentral:rRNA from 1 species
AUGGGGAGGAUAGGGAAUGACCCGCUUCAGUGGGUCUCUGAACUCAUCGACGAGAGUAGGGGAACCUGGGACAUCGAAACAGUACGUCGGAAUUUUCUUGCACCUGAUGCGGAUGCCAUACUUAACAUUCCUAUCUGGCACAACGGUGGAGAAGAUUUCCUGGCUUGGGCCUUUGAAAGAUUCGGUGAGUACACUAUAAAAUCAGCUUAUCGUGCUCUUGUGACUCAGAACGAGCGUCGAGCACUAGAGGAUGGGACGGUAGUGGGAACAUCAGCUUCGCAAAAACAGUUGUGGACUACUCUAUGGAAACUCAAAGUGACACCGAGAGUUCAGGCAUUCAUGUGGCGAGUUCUCAGAGGGAUUCUCCCUGACUACGCCAACAUGCAAUACCGCCAUAUUCGCACUAGCUCUAGGUACGAUCUGUGCAAGGCAAUGGAUGAAGACCUCAUGCAUGCUCUAAUACAAUGCACACAUGCACAAGCUUUUUGGGCUGCAGCUAAGGAAGUCAUUGGACUAAAGCUUCCACGGUUGCACCACGAUACAUGGGCGCGAGAUUUGGUGCUUCACACCAGAUUCUCAGACCCAGACAGAUGCAAGAUAAUAACAAUCAUGCACUCAAUCUGGACCUCGCGGAAUCGCUGGACACAUGAUGAGGAAGGAUACGAUCCAGCCCAAGCAAUAAAAUGGGCUCGUGAUGACCUAGCCAUACUCGAUCUUCCUCCAACACAGCGAUGCAACAGGAGUCUCCAGGACUGGAAUCCACCACAGCCUGGAUGGAUCAAAAUCAACACAGACGGCGCCCUCGACACUGAGCUUCAGGUUGGAGGCGUGGGAGGAGUUGCUCGGUCACAUCUCUCUUUCGCUGGUUCAUGGAGCAAGCCUUUGUUGGGGAACGUUGCAGAAAAUUAA